rnacentral:rRNA from 1 species
AAGACCUUGCGCUUUUGGAGCGGCCGAUGUCUGAUUAGCUUGUUGGUGAGGUAAAGGCUCACCAAGCCAACGAUCAGUAGCUGGUCUGAGAGGACGACCAGCCACACUGGGACUGAGACACGGCCCAGACUCCUACGGGAGGCAGCAGUGGGGAAUUUUGGACAAUGGGGGCAACCCUGAUCCAGCCAUGCCGCGUGAGUGAAGAAGGCCUUCGGGUUGUAAAGCUCUUUCAGCCGGAACGAAACGGUUACGGUUAAUACCCGUGACUACUGACGGUACCGGAAGAAGAAGCACCGGCUAACUACGUGCCAGCAGCCGCGGUAAUACGUAGGGUGCAAGCGUUAAUCGGAAUUACUGGGCGUAAAGCGUGCGCAGGUGGUUUUGUAAGUCAGAUGUGAAAUCCCCGGGCUUAACCUGGGAACU